rnacentral:rRNA from 1 species
GAUGAACGCUGGCGGCGUGCCUUAUACAUGCAAGUCGAGUGGGUUUAGACCCACGGCAAACGGGUGAGUAACACGUAGGUACUUUCCUUGGCACAGGAAUAACCCUCCGAAAGGAGGGCUAAUACCUGAUGUGAUCGCAAGAUUAAAGGGUAUCCGCAAGGAUUACCGGACAAGAAGAGGCCUGCGGCCUAUCAGCUAGUUGGCGGGGUAACUGCCCACCAAGGCUAUGACGGGUAGCUGGUCUUAUGAGGAUGAUCAGUCACAUGGGCACUGAGACACGGGCCCAACUCCUACGGCAGGCAGCAGUAGGGAAUUUUGCGCAAUGGGCGAAAGCCUGACGCAGCGCCGCCGCGUGCGGGAGGAAGGCCUUCGGGUCGUAAACCGCUUUUAUAAGGGACGAACUUUGACGGUACCUUAUGAAUAAGAGGUUGCUAACUCUGUG